UACGGGAGGCAGCAGUGGGGAAUAUUGCACAAUGGGCGCAAGCCUGAUGCAGCCAUGCCGCGUGUAUGAAGAAGGCCUUCGGGUUGUAAAGUACUUUCAGUCGUGAGGAAGGUGUUAAGGUUAAUAACCUUAGCAAUUGACGUUAGCGACAGAAGAAGCACCGGCUAACUCCGUGCCAGCAGCCGCGGUAAUACGGAGGGUGCGAGCGUUAAUCGGAAUUACUGGGCGUAAAGGGCACGCAGGCGGUUAAUUAAGUUGGAUGUGAAAUCCCCGGGCUUAACCUGGGAAUGGCAUUCAAGACUGGUUAGCUAGAGUCUUGUAGAGGGGGUAGAAUUCCAUGUGUAGCGGUGAAAUGCGUAGAGAUGUGGAGGAAUACCGGUGGCGAAGGCGGCCCCUGGACAAAGACUGACGCUCAUGUGCGAAAGCGUGGGGAGCAAACAGGGAUUAAGAUACC
rnacentral:rRNA from 1 species